rnacentral:rRNA from 1 species
GAACUGAAGAGUUUGAUCAUGGCUCAGAUUGAACGCUGGCGGCAGGCCUAACACAUGCAAGUCGAGCGGAUGAAGGGAGCUUGCUCCUGGAUUCAGCGGCGGACGGGUGAGUAAUGCCUAGGAAUCUGCCUGGUAGUGGGGGAUAACGUCCGGAAACGGGCGCUAAUACCGCAUACGUCCUGAGGGAGAAAGUGGGGGAUCUUCGGACCUCACGCUAUCAGAUGAGCCUAGGUCGGAUUAGCUAGUUGGUGGGGUAAAGGCCUACCAAGGCGACGAUCCGUAACUGGUCUGAGA